rnacentral:ncRNA from 12 species
GGGUUCAGUUCGGUAGCCGAACUGGAGGUCUCUGGAUGGUCGGGCCGCCAUUC